UAGCUAGUUGGUGAGGUAACGGCCCACCAAGGCGACGAUCGGUAGCCGGACUGAGAGGUUGAACGGCCACAUUGGGACUGAGACACGGCCCAGACUCCUACGGGAGGCAGCAGUGGGGAAUAUUGCACAAUGGGGGAAACCCUGAUGCAGCGACGCCGCGUGGAGGAAGAAGGUCUUCGGAUUGUAAACUCCUGUUGUUGAGGAAGAUAAUGACGGUACUCAACAAGGAAGUGACGGCUAACUACGUGCCAGCAGCCGCGGUAAAACGUAGGUCACAAGCGUUGUCCGGAAUUACUGGGUGUAAAGGGAGCGCAGGCGGGAAGACAAGUUGGAAGUGAAAUCCAUGGGCUCAACCCAUGAACUGCUUUCAAAACUGUUUUUCUUGAGUAGUGCAGAGGUAGGCGGAAUUCCCGGUGUAGCGGUGGAAUGCGUAGAUAUCGGGAGGAACACCAGUGGCGAAGGCGGCCUACUGGGCACCAACUGACGCUGAGGCUCGAAAGUGUGGGUAGCAAACAGGAUUAGAUACCCUGGUAGUCCACACUGUAAACGAUGAUUACUAGGUGUUGGAGGAUUGACCCCUUCAGUGCCGCAGUUAACACAAUAAGUAAUCCACCUGGGGAGUACGACCGCAAGGUUGAAACUCAAAGGAAUUGACGGGGGCCCGCACAAGCAGUGGAGUAUGUGGUUUAAUUCGACGCAACGCGAAGAACCUUACCAAGUCUUGACAUCCUGCGACGGACAUAGAAAUAUGUUUUUCCUUCGGGACGCAGAGACAGGUGGUGCAUGGUUGUCGUCAGCUCGUGUCGUGAGAUGUUGGGUUAAGUCCCGCAACGAGCGCAACCCUUAUGGUCAGCUACUACGCAAGAGGACUCUGGCCAGACUGCCGUUGACAAAACGGAGGAAGGUGGGGAUGACGUCAAAUCAUCAUGCCCUUUAUGACUUGGGCUACACACGUACUACAAUGGCGUUAAACAAAGAGAAGCAAGACCGCGAGGUGGAGCAAAACUCAGAAACAACGUCCCAGUUCGGACUGCAGGCUGCAACUCGCCUGCACGAAGUCGGAAUUGCUAGUAAUCGCAGAUCAGCAUGCUGCGGUGAAUACGUUCCCGGGCCUUGUACACACCGCCCGUCACACCAUGAGAGCCGGGGGGACCCGAAGUCGGUAGUCUAACCGCAAGGAGGACGCCGCCGAAGGUAAAACUGGUGAUUGGGGUGAAGUCGUAACAAGGUAACCGUACUAGUACGUCGUGUU
rnacentral:rRNA from 1 species